AGUGGAAUUACUGGAUUAUAUGACAGUUCUGUUUUUUGAAGAAUCUAUACAGUAUUUUUGAUAAUGGCUGUACUAAUUUAUAUUCCCACUAAUGAU
rnacentral:pre_miRNA from 1 species